rnacentral:rRNA from 1 species
GAUGAACGCUGGCGGCGUGCCUAAUACAUGCAAGUCGAGCGAACAGACGAGGAGCUUGCUCCUCUGACGUUAGCGGCGGACGGGUGAGUAACACGUGGAUAACCUACCUAUAAGACUGGGAUAACUUCGGGAAACCGGAGCUAAUACCGGAUAAUAUAUUGAACCGCAUGGUUCAAUAGUGAAAGACGGUUUUGCUGUCACUUAUAGAUGGAUCCGCGCCGCAUUAGCUAGUUGGUAAGGUAACGGCUUACCAAGGCAACGAUGCGUAGCCGACCUGAGAGGGUGAUCGGCCACACUGGAACGGGAACACGGUCCAGACUCCUACGGGAGGCAGCAGUAGGGAAUCGUCCGCAAUGGGCGAAAGCCUGACGGAGCAACGCCGCGUGAGUGAUGAAGGUCUUCGGAUCGUAAAACUCUGUUAUUAGGGAAGAACAAAUGUGUAAGUAACUAUGCACGUCUUGACGGUACCUAAUCAGAAAGCCACGGCUAACUACGUG